rnacentral:sRNA from 12 species
CAGGAGCUGGUCAAUGUCAUUACCCCUGAACUUGGAUAUGGGAAUACCGGUGCAGA